UGAGUUAGUGCAAACGUUUGCAUACCGCCUCAGUCUUGUGAGUUCCUGUUUUCAGUCCUGUUUUAUCUGGAAGGUGCUUCCCAUUUUGUACAUCUCAAAUUUUGAACAUUAGGAAAGUCCAUUGCUUUACAAAUUCUAGAUUGGUUUCGAGAAACCUUAAGCAUAAAAUUCAAUAAAUGGUUGGGACAUUGGAAGAAUGACAGAAUUACAAUACUUAACAUAAAAAUUUUAGUAAGUAGCCUGAACAUUAGGUACCAAUGAUCCAAAUAAAAUUAGUAAAGGUACUUUGAGUUGGUAGGUCAAUCUGAACAUAGUUGACAUAACCUUGAUUUGAGGGAGAUUUAAUAAUAAUACUAUUACAACACUAAAGUAGGCCUUCUGGCCUAUUAGAAUAUUAUAAACAAAAAUACUUUGUUGUAUUUUUAGGAUCUUUGUCCACAAUUUUAAAGAAUCGUGUGUCAGAGUCCACAUGUGGUGUAGAAUGAUCUGAGGACAGGAUGCGAUAUAAAACACUUGUAAUUUUGUGUUUCAGCAUCUUUCUGUGAAUGUAGAAGAAAUUUCUUUUCUUUUUAAGGUUCCCAAGGACAGUUUCCUUUUAUAGUAAGCAUCCUCAAUCUCAAUCCCCAAAUUGUCUGCUGUUCCUGGUGGCUGGGUCCUCACCACAGCAGAACUGUUACAGUCCUGAUGUGGCUAUGAAUCUGUACCCAUUAUAACUUCCAACUACAAUGUGUAAUACGUUCACGGUUCUAAAACUUCUCACAGUAAACAGACUUUGUAGCUACCCAGAGCAAGGCUUAUAAUCAAUAUAACUUAGAGAAGAAAAAAGGAAAUGUGAUUGUUUAAUGUUUUUAAUGUUUAUUAACUCAAGGAUAGAUAAUUUUACUAUGAAAAACUAAUCACAUUUCAGAGAAAAUUAAUCAUUUCUUGAGCUAUGCAACCAGGUUUUAGGUUGAUUAUUUUGCAAUAAUAUUUAACUCUUUAUUUAUUAAGUGCUUUAUUGUGAUCACUAUAGUUUUGCAACUUUUCGGUCAGCAGCAUGCACUUAUGCAAACCAUUUGUAACACGUAUGUGUGCUAAAAUAUACAUGCUUAUGAACUGGGAUUUGCAACUGAUAUGAACCUUACUACCUAUGGUCAAGAUAUUUCCCAAGAGAAGCCUACUUUUAAACUUCUCGUUCAGCACUGGAAUUUUUGGAUGCCUUUCUAUUACCCAUAGAGUAAAUGCUUGCUUUUUUAUCCUCUAAAAUAGAAUAACUUCUAUUUUAGUAGAUCACGAUUAACUUAUUUAACAUCAUAGAUAAAGGGAAUAUCUUAAAAUAAGACAAAGGGGAGAAAUAUACUGUAGGCAAAAAGCUCAUUAAUUUUUUUAUUAAUAAUUAUGCCUUUUGAGUUUAUUCUGUAAAUACAUAUUUUCUCCUUCCAAACAACUCUCCCAUGUGUUCCCCCCAGCUGUUUUAAAAUUCAUGUUGUUUCUUUUUUCUUGUUUUUAAAGCUGAUCCUCUGCCAUUGAAUAACCAAUAUUUCCUUAUAUGUAUUGCUCAUAAGAAUUAUGUAUGUAUAUAUGCAUGUAUACAAAUUCUACAUUUGCUGCUGUCCCCACUUUUAGGUGCAUAAACAUUAAAGCACAGGGAUACAUUGACCUUCCUUCUCUGGCAAGCAUCCAAGUGUACAAAUACCUGAGAGGGAGUUGACCUGUUGAGGGGCAAUUAUUGCAUCAAAUAAUCCUUUUUGAAGUGGUUUGAGGAAUAAAGAAUUUAGUCUAUGUGUAGUUAACCAACUAUAGCUUAAAACAGUACACACUGUCAAGUUAAAAUAUAUAAUCUGGUCCUUUUUCUUCCUGGAUUGCCAUGUUUCACCAACUACAUCCAAUGUGUGCUCUAACACAUGCUUUCAUAAAGAAUAUUUUCCUGAUUGAUAACCAUCUCCCAAAUGCUUAAAUUUAAAUUUCUAUGCACAAUAUGUCCCAACAAGGAUUUGGUACCUCCUCUCUCCCACAUGUUCUGGAUUUUAAUCUCCAUAUCUCAGUAAGAGCCUCUCAACCACACCAAUAAGACUUCUUGGUAUCUCUUCAGCAUAUGAAAAGCUAGGGAGGGAUGGGAAUAACUCAGACCUUCUACUUAGGCCCUUGUGCAAUGUUGUUCUUGCAAUUUUGAGGUUUGGUUUCUGAUUGGUAUACGAUAGAAACAUAUAAAUAAUGCUAUCAUUUCCACUGCUUGUCUUUUCUCCCCUAGCAAACUGGCAAUUAUUUAGUUUCACAUAGCUUAGACACUUCAACAUAAUUCCUGGAGGCAAGAGGCUCAGGGGAAGUAAAAAGAAAUAGAUUCCUUUCUCUUUCUUCAAAGAGCUCAGCUGGUGACUGUGUGGACAACUAGUUCUUUAUCAUGAAGCUGUUAUCAGCAGAACCACCCAGCAAGGAAACAAUGUAGAAUCCUAUCAACAUCCCAGGAUGUGCUAGGUCUUUAUGAUGUCAAGAACUACAAAUUCCACUGUUAUUGAAGGCUCCCAUCCUAUGGCUUGGCAUAUUGGUUGUGUUCUUCAAUAGUGAAAUUCCCUCUGGCUUUCAUCUUAGUGACCCUUAAAAGCUAACAUGAUUACCAUUGGUUUAUAAAGGAGUGUUCACUGUCUCAAGUAUGCUCAGAGAUGGUUGGAUAUCAAUACUGAUCAUCAUAAGUGAGAGCUCAAUUCAUAAUGACUCAUUUGAAGAAAAAUAAAGAACAUUCUAUGUCAUGUCAUCUAAAGAGUUACUUCAUCAAGAUAAUGUCUUUCUAGUUCCAUUUCUCUGCAAAUUCCAUGAUGCCUUAGGGGUUAAAAGCAAUGAAUACUCUUGAAGAGGACCUGGGUUCAAUUCUCAGCACUUUCAGGUCAGUGCACAAUCAUCUGUAACUCCAGCCUCAGGGUAUCCAACACCUCCUCAGACAUCAGACAUGUAUGUGGUGCAGAUCAAUCACUCAGUAUAAGAUUAUUAACAUUAAGACUACUGCAUCUAUAAAGUAGCAUAAUGUCAUUUCCCAUCCCUCCAUCCUUUCCUUCUUUUCUUCCUUUUUGCUUCAUUUCAAGAAAUGAUUUUUGACUCAGCAUUUGUUUCCUCUUGUAAUAUGUGUGGAAAAUAGUUUAGAAAAAGAGCAAUGUGUGAGAACCAUAUGCAGACAUGCUCUGUAAAAUUACCGUCAUCAUUUCCCUAAAGCAAAGACUUGGGAUGUUAACCUCUGCUGCCUGUGGCUACUAGUAUUAGAACCUGUAACAUCCUACGAUAAUACUUUGUCAUCCUUCAGGAAUUGUUUUUUAGUCCAUACCACAGCUGAGGAAUCCAUAAGAAUGAACCCAAUCUGAAAGACAUCAUCAUCCUUUUCUUCCAGACUGGCUGGCUUCUAGAACGAAAAGAGAGCCCCCUUUCCCAAAUGCUACUCACCCUACUGGCUCAGUUGCUGGAGUGACUUACUAUUAUUAUCUCACUUAUCUCAUGGAAUGUUGCUCAUAAAUUUUAUUGAUUCAGGUACCACAUGUGAGGAUGCACUCAUUUUUUUUUACACUCCCAAUCAUUAACACAUCAACUUAAGUAAAUUGUUUACAAGUGCAGGGAAUAUAAAAUGGGAUCUCUAAUGCAUAAAAUGACGGUGUCUUUAAGCAUUACAUUUAUGUGUGUGCUUCAAGCUCUCUUGAUGUUUCAGCUGCUCUUUCCUUUUCUAUUUUCCCAUUUCUUUUCAUCACUGUGACCUUAGGUAUCUUCUAGAACUGUCCUUACGUCAUACAUAGUAUCAUGGUAUAAGCAACUACCAUAGAACAUCAUCUCAGGCUGGAGAGAUGGCUCAGCGGUUAAGAGCACUGACUGCUCUUCCAGAGGUCCUGAGUUCA
rnacentral:sRNA from 1 species